rnacentral:rRNA from 1 species
UGUUUACCAAAAACAUAGCCCUUAAAUUAAAUUAAAGGUGAUACCUGCCCAGUGAUAAAAAGAGUAAAUUUUAAAAUAGUUUAACAUUUAUUAAAUGGAUGCGGUAACUCUGACCGUAAUAAAGUAGCAUAAUUAAUUACCACUUAAUUGGUGGAGAGUAUGAAUGGUGGUACGAAUUUCUCAUUGUCUUAAUUAAAAAUUUUUAAAAUUGAAUUAAUAGUGAAGAUGCUAUUUAUAACCGUAAGACGAAAAGACCCUAUAGAGCUUUACUAUAAAUUUUAAAGGUAAUAGAAUAAAUUUAUUUUGGUAAUUUAAAAUUUGGUAGUUUAGUUGGGGCGACUGUCUUUUAUAAUUAACAAAGAUAAGUAAAAUUAAUAAUAUAAUUUAUUGUAUAAUUUAUUGAUUUAACAAUUAUUAAAGUAGGCUAUAAUGACCCGUUAAUAUGGUUAAAUAUAAUUAACGAUUAAUUAAUAAAAGCUACCUUAGGGAUAACAGGAUAAUUUUGUUUUAGAGUUCUUAUCAAUUACAAAGUUUGUCACCUCUAUGUUGAAUUAAGAUAUCCUAAUAAUGCAGAAGUUAUUAAAGGUAGGUCUGUUCGACCUUUAAAAUCUUACAUGAUUUGAGUUCAUUCCGUA